rnacentral:rRNA from 1 species
GAUGAACGCUGGCGGCGUGCCUAAUACAUGCAAGUCGAGCGAACAGACGAGGAGCUUGCUCCUCUGACGUUAGCGGCGGACGGGUGAGUAACACGUGGAUAACCUACCUAUAAGACUGGGAUAACUUCGGGAAACCGGAGCUAAUACCGGAUAAUAUAUUGAACCGCAUGGUUCAAUAGUGAAAGACGGUUUUGCUGUCACUUAUAGAUGGAUCCGCGCCGCAUUAGCUAGUUGGUAAGGUAACGGCUUACCAAGGCAACGAUGCGUAGCCGACCUGAGAGGGUGAUCGGCCACACUGGAACGGAGACACGGUCCAGACUCCUACGGGAGGCAGCAGUAGGGAAUCCUCCGCAAAGGGCGAAAGCCUGACGGAGCAACGCCGCGUGAGUGAUGAAGGUCUUCGGAUCGUAAAACUCUGUUAUUAGGGAAGAACAAAUGUGUAAGUAACUAUGCACGUCUUGACGGUACCUAAUCAGAAAGCCACGGCUAACUACGUG